UACGUAGGUGGCAAGCGUUGUCCGGAUUUAUUGGGUUUAAAGGGUGCGUAGGCGGCUUUGUAAGUCAGCGGUGAAAUACUCUAGCUUAACUAGAGGGGUGCCAUUGAUACUGCGGAGCUUGAGUACAGAUGAGGUAGGCGGAAUUGACGGUGCAGCGGUGAAAUGCAUAGAUAUCGUCAAGAACACCUAUAGCGAAGGCAGCUUACUAGGCUGUAACUGACGCUGAGGCACGAAAGUGUGGGGAGCAAACAGG
rnacentral:rRNA from 1 species